AUCAUCAGUAGUGGUUAUACUAUACUAUAUAAUAUAACUUACUUUACUAUAAAGACUACGGCAGGUUUUACUGAUAGUAUAUCGUAGAUGUGUACUAUUUAAGAUCUGUCCCAUUCAUUAACCCAAUAGCUAAGUAUUUUGAUUGACCUUGCUAACAACUCGGCCACAGUCAAUACUUCGUUUCGGUCUUUUAGAUGAAUCACGGCAUUU
rnacentral:ncRNA from 1 species